CGAUAGACUAUCUUAGUAUCGGACUUCUCCGUGGGAGCUUCUGUGGAACAGUAAGCUUCUCAGCAGCAGCAGCAGAUGCAGUGCAGGAGCAUCGUCAAGUGUUGAGAGCAAACGCCUGCCUGCCUUUAAUUCUCUACCCCAGUUUUUAGACACAGGCACACCUCAGAGACAUUGCAAGUUCGGUUCCAGACCACAGCAUUAAACCAUGUAUCACAACAAAGUAAGUCACGUGAAUUUUUUUGUUUCCCAGUGCAUAUUAAAGUUACAUUUAC